rnacentral:rRNA from 1 species
UACAGAGGUCUCAAGCGUUGUUCGGAUUCAUUGGGCGUAAAGGGUGCGUAGGUGGCGCUGUAAGUCGGGUGUGAAAGCCUUGAGCUUAACUCAAGAAAUGCACUCGAUACUUGGUGACUAGAGGACCGGAGAGGAUAGUGGAAUUCCCAGUGUAGUGGUGAAAUACGUAGAGAUUGGGAAGAACACCAGUGGCGAAGGUGGCUACCUGGCCCUGACCUGACACUGAGGCGCGACAGCGUGGGGAGCAAACAGG